rnacentral:rRNA from 1 species
AUUGAACGCUGGCGGCAUGCUUUACACAUGCAAGUCGAACGGCAGCGCGGGCUUCGGCCUGGCGGCGAGUGGCGAACGGGUGAGUAAUGCAUCGGAACGUGCCCAGUAGUGGGGAUAGCCCGGCGAAAGCCGGAUUAAUACCGCAUACGACCUGAGGGUGCAAGCGGGGGACCGAAAGGCCUCGCGCUAUUGUAGCGUCCGAUGUCGGAUUAGCUAGUUGGUGGGGUAAAGGCUUACCAAGGCGACGAUCCGUAGCUGGUCUGAGAGGACGACCAGCCACACUGGGACUGAGACACGGCCCAGACUCCUACGGGAGGCAGCAGUGGGGAAUUUUGGACAAUGGGGGCAACCCUGAUCCAGCCAUGCCGCGUGCGAGAAGAAGGCCUUCGGGUUGUAAACCGCUUUUGUUCGGGAAGAAAUCCUCUGGGCUAAUACCCCGGGGGGAUGACGGUACCGGAAGAAUAAGCACCGGCUAACUACGUG